GCAAACUUGGUCAUUUAGAGGAAGUAAAAGUCGUAACAAGGUCUCCGUUGGUGAACCAGCGGAGGGAUCAUUAAAGAGUUAUUACAACUCCCAAACCCAUGUGAACUUACCUUCUGUUGCCUCGGCAGGUCGUGACCUACCCUGUGAGGCCCUACCCUGUAGGGCCCUACCCGGUAGUCGCGGGUACGCCUGCCGGUGGCCCAUGAAACUCUGUUUAUUCAUGUCAUUCUGAAUCUAUAACUAAAUAAGUUAAAACUUUCAACAACGGAUCUCUUGGUUCUGGCAUCGAUGAAGAACGCAGC
rnacentral:misc_RNA from 1 species